GUCUCUGUAGCGUAAUGGAUAGCGCGUUGGACUUCUAAUUCAAAGAUCGUGGAUUCUAAUCCCACCUGGGAUG
rnacentral:tRNA from 1 species